UACGAAGGGGGCUAGCGUUGUUCGGAAUUACUGGGCGUAAAGCGCGCGUAGGCGGUGAUCUUUGUCAGAGGUGAAAUCCCGAGGCUCAACUUCGGAAUUGCCUUUGAAACGGGAUCGCUUGAGUCCGAGAGAGGAUGGCGGAAUUCCUAGUGUAGAGGUGAAAUUCGUAGAUAUUAGGAAGAACACCGGUGGCGAAGGCGGCCAUCUGGCUCGGUACUGACGCUCAGGCGCGAAAGCGUGGGGGAGCAAACAGG
rnacentral:rRNA from 1 species